rnacentral:tRNA from 1 species
GUUAAUGUAGCUUAAACAACAAAGCAAGGCACUGAAAAUGCCUAGAUGAGUAUA